GGCGGCGUGCCUAAUACAUGCAAGUCGAGCGAAUGGAUUAAGAGCUUGCUCUUAUGAAGUUAGCGGCGGACGGGUGAGUAACACGUGGGUAACCUGCCCAUAAGACUGGGAUAACUCCGGGAAACCGGGGCUAAUACCGGAUAACAUUUUGAACCGCAUGGUUCGAAAUUGAAAGGCGGCUUCGGCUGUCACUUAUGGAUGGACCCGCGUCGCAUUAGCUAGUUGGUGAGGUAACGGCUCACCAAGGCAACGAUGCGUAGCCGACCUGAGAGGGUGAUCGGCCACUGGGACUGAGACACGGCCCAGACUCCUACGGGAGGCAGCAGUAGGGAAUCUCCGCAAUGGACGAAAGUCUGACGGAGCAACGCCGCGUGAGUGAUGAAGGCUUUCGGGUCGUAAAACUCUGUUGUUAGGGAAGAACAAGUGCUAGUUGAAUAAGCUGGCACCUUGACGGUACCUAACCAGAAAGCCACGGCUAACUACGUGCCAGCAGCCGCGGUAAUACGUAGGUGGCAAGCGUUAUCCGGAAUUAUUGGGCGUAAAGCGCGCGCAGGUGGUUUCUUAAGUCUGAUGUGAAAGCCCACGGCUCAACCGUGGAGGGUCAUUGGAAACUGGGAGACUUGAGUGCAGAAGAGGAAAGUGGAAUUCCAUGUGUGCGGUGAAAUGCGUAGAG
rnacentral:rRNA from 1 species